AUUGAACGCUGGCGGCAGGCCUAACACAUGCAAGUCGAGCGGAUGACGGGAGCUUGCUCCUUGAUUCAGCGGCGGACGGGUGAGUAAUGCCUAGGAAUCUGCCUGGUAGUGGGGGAAAACGUUUCGAAAGGAACGCUAAUACCGCAUGCGUCCUACGGGAGGAAGCAGGGGACCUUCGGGCCUUGCGCUAUCAGAUGAGCCUAGGUCGGAUUAGCUUGUUGGUGAGGUAAUGGCUCACCAAGGCGACGAUCCGUAACUGGUCUGAGAGGAUGAUCAGUCACACUGGAACUGAGACACGGUCCAGACUCCUACGGGAGGCAGCAGUGGGGAAUAUUGGACAAUGGGCGAAAGCCUGAUCCAGCCAUGCCGCGUGUGUGAAGAAGGUCUUCGGAUUGUAAAGCACUUUAAGUUGGGAGGAAGGGUUGUAGAUUAAUACUCUGCAAUUUUGACGUUACCGACAGAAUAAGCACCGGCUAACUCUGUGCCAGCCGCCGCAGUAACAC
rnacentral:rRNA from 1 species